rnacentral:rRNA from 1 species
UACGGAGGGUGCAAACGUUUGCUCGGAAUCAUUGGGCGUAAAGCGCACGUAGGCGGCUCGUUAAGUCGGAUGUGAAAGCCCUGGGCUCAACCCAGGAAGUGCAUUCGAAACUGGCGAGCUUGAAUAUGGAAGAGGGUCGCGGAAUUCCCGGUGUAGAGGUGAAAUUCGUAGAUAUCGGGGAGGAACACCAGUGGCGAAGGCGGCGCCUGGGCCAAUAUUGACGCUGAGGUGCGAAAGCGUGGGGGAGCAAAACAGGG